rnacentral:rRNA from 1 species
GGAAUUGUUCGCAAUGGGCGCAAGCCUGACGACGCAACGCCGCGUGGAGGAUGAAGAUCUUCGGGUCGUAAACUCCUGUCGAGCGGGAAGAACAGCUUUGGGGUGAAUAUCCCUGGAGCCUGACGGUACCGCUAAAGGAAGCCCCUGCUAACUCCGCGCCCGCAGCCGCGGUAAUACGGGGGGGGCAAGCGUUGUUCGGAAUUACUGGGCGUAAAGGGCUCGUAGGCGGCCAACUAAGUCAGACGUGAAAUCCCCAGGCUCAACCUGGGAACUGCGUCUGAUACUGGAUGGCUUGAAUUCGGGAGAGGGAUGCAGAAUUCCAGGUGUAGCGGUGAAAUGCGUAGAUAUCUGGAGGAAUACCGGUGGCGAAGGCGGCAUCCUGGACCGACAUUGACGCUGAGGAGCGAAAGCUAGGGGAGCAAA